UAAAUCGCAAUUUUUUCCCAUUUCCAGGCAAAGAAAACGGUGAAAAAACGAGUUCUGAACCCCAAAAAAACCCCAACCAGCACCAAGAAAGUCCCGAGCACCAAAGUCCUGACAGGGAAAAAGGAAAAAGUGAAGAAAAC